CGGUCAGAAAGCGGUUCCAGGUAGAACUCUUGAAGAAAGGGAUCAGAGGGGAGUGGACAGUUGUGGAAAAGGCUGAUCGUUUUUCGUCACUAAAGAACGUGUACUUUUUAUCCGUUUAUAGUUGCUUUAAAUGAGUAUAAAACCAAUCAACACCUGACGGAUCAGAACGCAGAACCUUCCAGCGCAGUUCAUCAUUUCAUAACAAACAGCCAUUUUGGAUUUUCUAUAAUAAAAAAAAAUAAAAAAUCAAAGUGAAUGAAAUUCCGGCUUCUCUAACUAACGCAUCGUUAAAUUCUGAAAUAAAACUCAUUAACGUCUCCCGAGAGCGUUUUUAUUUUCUUGUGUUUCUGCUGGGUUUUGUUAUUGUUGUUGUUGUUGUUGUUGUUGUCGGUGGUUAUUAUUUUUAGCGAAGCUGCUGAGCUGAACUGAUGCAACUGGGUGCAAAUCCCUGAAGCCCUGAUGACCGCUUUUUGAGGGUGUUCAUGUCUCCAGAUGGCUGAGUGUGAUGGGUCCUGACAAGACCGACCUCCAAACACACACACACACAUCUCUCUCUCUUUCUUUUUUUUUUAGAACCCUUAAGGAUGAUUCGUGUUGUCCCUCUGCGGGAACUGUGAAAGAUUCUGUGUAAAACCCUACAAGAGAGUUCCAUUAGAAAAGGUUCCACGUAGAAAUGCUUAGGAGACUAUGAACCCUUCAAUUAUCCAGUGAACCCAUAAACACCCUUUCUUCUAACAUUCUUAAGGCUCGUCUCUCCUGGGGGAACUCCUACGUAGAACGCUACAACAAAUGGUUCAAACCUUUUAGGAGACUAAAACCCCCUUGAUUAUCCACAGAACCUCUAAGGAACCGGUGAAGAACCUAUUCUAUUCGCGUCGUCCCUGCUAUGAGAACCGUUCAAGCUUCUAUGUAGAACCCUACAACGGAGUGUGCUUCGUCCAUUAGAAAAGGUUCCACAGAGAACUGCUUGAGGAAACUAUGAACCAUUAAAUGAUCCACGAUUCUUAAGAGUUCUUCGGGUGUCUCUCUUCGGGGAACCCGUAAAGAUUCUACAUAGAGCAACAAAUGGUUCAAACAUUUUAGGAGGCUAACCCUACAAGACAGAGUGUCUUUCCGUAAUAGAAAUGGUUCCACAUAGAACAGUUUUUUUUUUUUUUUGGAAGCUAAAAAUCCUUACCUGUCUAACACACCCUUGAAGAACACUUGUUUAGUAGAACCUUUACAUUGCCUUUGCGGUCCCUCUUGGGGGAACCCUUUAAGAUUCCAUAUAGAACCCUACAGCAAAGUGUUUAGAACCCUUCAGGGUUGUUCGGUUGUCUUUCUUUUGGGAAACCCGUAAAGAUUCUAUGUAGAACUCUACAAAAAAAAACGUGUUUUUCGACAAGAAACGGUUCCAGGUCGAAACCGUUUUGGAGGCCAAGAACACUUAAUUAUCCUCAGAACCUCUGAAGAACUCUUGAAGAACCAUUUUUACCAAGAUACAAACAUGGCAGAGUGCCAAAAAAAUGCAAUUUAGCAGUGGGGUUUUUAUAUAAACAAUAUAAAAUAGGCGUAUUUAACGCUUUGUUAAGCUCCGCCCCCUGGGUUACUCCUACAUACAGAGACGUUAAUAUCUUGGUCGUUUUUUGGAGCAAAGUACCCAAAAUUUUUGCAAGGAUGUCAUGGAUGGAACUGUUGAUGGAAACAUACUAGAUAUUCUUUAUUGAUUUAUUUAUGGAAAGAUCGAAACUCCAGCUAGCUACGCUCCUGGACAAUUUCCGUACUCUUAACGACUCUACGUAGAACCCUCCAAAUAAGUGUUUGGAAGCAAAGAACCCUUAAAGAACCCUUGAAGAACCUUUUCCAAGAGUAAACCCAGUAAUCAUCAUCAUCAUCAUCAUCAUCAUCAUCAUCAUCAGGAUGAACUGGCUGAGUGUACGUGCACAGAUCACACGCACAGCAGAUUUGCCAACGAUUAAACUUUUUUAUUUGUUAAAGAACUUCACGCCAUAGUUUCUAUCCAUUUAGAGUUACCUUUAAGGUUGUGGAACAUCCCUGGUUUUGUUCAUCGUCUUUUAUUACCGAGAAACCGCAAAAGAAGCACAAACUCCUCCGUCCUAGAAGUUCUAGAUUUACGUCGGACACUGGAGACUCCUUCCGUGAAUGUUAAACAAACAUGUUACUAUAGAAACGAUAACGUUUUAGAACAAGCGCAUUCACGGGAUAAAGAAAAAAAGCUUAAAAUAGUCAUCUUCUGUGGAGAAAAUCCCUUUUCCUAAAAAGUGUCCAAAGUUUAGAAAGAUUCAAUCCAGAAUUGGUGACGUUCUCCAUCAUGGAAAGAAAAGAAGAAAAAAAAAACAAGUUCUUCAUCUUCCUCUCUCUCUCCGUCCUCUCCAUUUAAAAAAAAAAAAAAAAAAAAGGACAUUUGUUUUCCGGAAAGAUGGGAAUGUACAGAUCUGACCCGAGUGAUCCGUGCUUCAGUGCGCAGUAAAAGUCCACACUCGGAUCCAGAGAAGCUUCUGGAAAAAUCCAGGCGUGAUCCAUUAAGAUCUGUAAAAUAUUCCAGCUCUGGUAUACAAACUGAAUCAGAGCUUUCCGUAUCAGACACGAUCCCGGAUUCUCCACCGAAGCCACCGAUCCGAGUGGAGGCACUUUACGACACCAUCCUUUUAACUCGACACGUCUACAAAUUCCCAGUAUAUCCACUCGGAUCAGAUCCGAGCCAGUCCGGAGUUCUCCGGUUCUCCGUCCAGCGUCCAGGCGAGAGAGAGCGAGCUGAAAUAAAAAGAGAACGACGCCGGUGCUGCAGCGUGCUCGGAUUCCGAGUCUCCUGCUCCUCGGGAUUUCCCGGGAUCGGUGAGGAGAAGAUCUGCCGCGUCGCCCGCGGAGCAGAGAGGAGACCGAUCCCGAGCGUGUUGUCCGUUCCCCGUCACGCCGGAGUUAGACGAGAAGGUGAGCCGGGAUCGGACGGACGGAUGGAACGUGCUGUUCCUCUCACGUGAGCUGGAUGGCAGCAGUACGACUCGGAACGACAGAGGCGGGAGACGCUUUGUCUGUGAGGACGAGAGAGGGGAAUGCAAAGGAAUGUCAGAUCAAAUCUUUUAUUUAAAGGAUCUGAUCGGUGCGCGGAAUACGUCCUACUCAACACACACACGUUCUGCACAAUACGUCCUACUCAACACACACACGUUCUGCACAAUACGUCCUACUCAACACACACACGUUCUGCACCUGGGUUUAUUAAAUAUACAGCAUACACAUGUACAUUACUCAUAUCACAGAUAAACCAUCACUCUCUCUCUCUCUCUCUCUCUCUCUCUCUCUCUCUCUCUCUCGUAGACCUUGUUUUUCUUCUCCUUUGGUUUCUGCUUCUUCUCUUUCUCCACUUCCUUUCAGUCUCCUUUUCUUCUUCUAAUCACAAUUUCUUAUUCACUCAUUCUUUCUCUCUCUUAUUUUUAGUUUACAGCCUUCUUUCUUUCUUUCUCUCUCUCUCUUUCUCUUUCCGUCAUGCUCUUUUUUCUCGCUUUUCUUUUUGUUUCUCUUCAUUUGUAAUCAUUUAUUUUCUUUUUUAUAACCACAUUCUUUUGCUUUUCAGCUUUCAAUCUAUUUUUUUUUCUUUCUUCUUACCACGCCUUCUUGUGUUUUUUUUUUCCCUUCCUUCCUUCCUUCCUUCUUUCUUGUUAAUAAAGAGCAGAUGAUUUGCUGCUGCUUGAUUGUAAAGCGUCCAAAGUCAAACAUUUUUAAAUGGACGUUUGAGGUUUUUUUUUUUUUUUAUAAACACAGCAACACGUUUUUAAUGACAUUCAGGUUUUUUUCCUUUCUUUUUUUGUUUGAUACUCCUCUCUUUCUUUCCUUUAUGUCUGUGUCUUUGUUUUAAUUUUCCCACUCUUCCUUGUUUGUUUUUUUCACUUUAACUCCUGAACUCUUUUUUCUCUGACUCAUGAAAAACACAUUUAGUUAUUAGUUUUAAAUUAAAAUGCAUUUUUAAACAAACAUAAUAAAAAUAAAUAAAAAAAAACAGGCUACAGCUUCAGCAACGUGAAUAGCAAUAUGUAUUUCACUUCAUUGAAAUUAUAAUUUUUUUUAAUGAAAUUAAAAUAAUUUAAAAAAUCAUUUUUUAAAGAGAAAAAGAAUAUAAAACACGAAACAGCCAAAAAAAAAAAAAGAAAAAAGAAGGAAAUAGCAGCAGGCAAGAGAUGGCCAAUUAGGUCUGCCAAGUUACCAUGGCAACCAGGACAGACUCAACAAAUGUUGAGUGCUGAGUGUGUGACACACACACACACACACACACACACACUCAUUAGCAUAUCAGCUACACUGUAUUUGUCUCAUUUUAUCUAUGAAGCAAUCAAAUAAAAAAUGUGUACAGGUAGUGUGUAUUGUGUGUAUUGUGUAGUGUGUGGUGUGUGGUGUGUAGUGUGUAAUGUGUAGUGUAGUGUAGUGUGUAGUGUGUGGUGUGUGGUGUGUAUUGUGUUGUGUGUAGUGUGUAUUGUGUAGUGUGUGGUGUGUAUUGUGUAGUGUGUGUUGUGUGGUGUGUAGUGUGUGUUGUGUAGUGUGUAUUGUGUAGUGUGUGUUGUGUGUUGUGUAUUGUGUAGUAUGUGGUGAUUGACGCGUCAUCUGAUAAACACACAGAGUUAAUGAGCAGCAGAAGAAAUGAAUAUAAAUAGAGGAAAUUAGCAUAACCGUAACAGAAGGGUUUAGCUGUUUGAUCUUCAGUCAGAAUGAAUGUAACUUUAUUCUUAUUUUUAUUCUUCUUUCUCUUCUUCUUAUCACUGUUAUUAGAUCUGCAGCAGAGCAGAGACCUGAACACAGUGAAUAACAAAUAAAACGUCCUCUAGAAUCUGUUACACAUAUAGUAGAUAUGUAAUACAGGAUAUACAGUGCAAUCAAAUCAUCAUAAUCAUCAUCAUCAUCACCAUCAUAAUCAUAAUAAUAAAUUGUGUUUUUGUUUAAAGUUCACAAGUCAUGUAUAAUUACGGUGCGAUUUUGUUUAGAGAAGUUUUUAUUAUUCUUAACUGGAAAAGGUGACAAUAAAUUACUAACAAAAAUCAAUAAAAACAGAAAAAGGACACGUGAGGGACAGAGAAAAAGGAAGGAAGGAAGGAUGGAAGGAAGGAUGGAGAAAUGGGAAGAAGGAAAGAUGGAAGGAAGGAAGGAAGGAGGGAAAGAAGGAGAGGUGGAAGGAAGGAAGGAAGGAGAGAUGGAAGGAGGAAAUGCUGAAAGGAAUGAUGGAAGGAAGAAAGAAAAAGAAAGUAAGAAAGAAAGAAAGAGGUUUAAAAAAAAUCUUGGGCAGAGAAAUGAAAGCAAGGGGGAAAAACAGACUGAAGAAAGUGUCAAAGCAAGCAAAACAGAGUAAAGAAGAGAGAACGUGAAAAAGACCGAGCAAAGCGUGAAAGAAAGAAACAAAAAGAGGGAUGUUAAAAGAAAAAGAAAAACUGGGGAGAAACUGGGGGAAAGUAAUGCGUUUUUGACAAAAGUACUGCACUCAUACGGAGCUGAAAGAGACGAGGAGAAAAGAGAGAGAAGAAAGCAGAGAAAACAGGAAGGAAAUGGAGAUCAAGCAAAAGGAAAAAGAGAAGAAAUAAAGAAGAAAAAAAAGAAAAACAACGAAAAAAGAGAAAAGGGAAAAUAACACAAGGAAAGAAACUGUCAUUAGAAGAAAAAGAAAAGGAGGGAAGGAGACAAAAAAGAGCAAGAAGGAAAAGAAAGAAAGAUGUUUGCUAAUAAAUAAGUAUAAUAAUGCGGGUCAGUGUGAAACCGUUCAAGUCAGUGAACUGCACAGUGUCUUUUACCUCCUCUUCCUCCUCUUCCUCCUCCUCCUCCUCUUCCUCCCUCCAUCCUCCUCCACCUCCCGCAGGUGUAAACACAUCCAUCUGCCCCUCGGAGCGUCUCGUUUCCCCUCCGUGUGGUCGAGAGGAGAGAGACGGACCCUCGACCCGAGCCUUCAGCUUUCUGAGAGCUGUCGUCUUAACAAGCGCCGGUGGGAAGAGCCUGCCAGCGCUCAGCUGUCUCCACAGUGAAGGAGAAAACACCAUUCUGAAACAUAAAGAGGACGAUAGUAUGGUGAGGUCGCAGGGGUCACGGUGGGGUCACGGGGGGUUCGUGCAGUCUGGGCACUCGUCUCGCGCUCUGGCCUCCAGGUGAUGUCAUCCAUCUGGCACUAAUUUGGUCCUGAAUUUCCUUCCUGGGUCACAAGGUGUGACAGCUCGCUCACUUUCUCUGGGUUUGCCCUUGUUCAGUGAACACACACACACACACACACACACACACACACACACACACUUCACUUUAACAUUAACUCCAACACUGUACUGUAGCUCUGAAUUUGUGUUGUGAAUCUCACACAGAGCAUUUUCGCAUUAAGUAUGAUUCUCUCUCUCUCUCACACACACACACACACACACACACACACACACACACACACACACACACACACACACACACACAUUAUUAAUGGCUUUGUUUUAAACAUCACAUUAAUGUGCACAAGAUACAGAGAUGUUUAUAAAAACUUCUGAAAAUAAUACUUCAGUAAAACACCAAAUCUACAGUGAUCAGAAGUCAGGAACGAAUGAAAGUACGCUAAUAAUAAUAAUAAUGCAUGAUGAGAAGGAAGGAAGACUGUGAGUGUUAAGAAAGAAAGAAAGAAAGAAAGAAAGAAAGACAAUGUGAGUGUUAAUAUAUAUAUAAAAAGAAAGAAAUUCUGAGUCUUAAUAAGAAAGAAAGAAAAAGAAAGAAAGGCAGGAAUCCUUUUCCUGGAUGCCCUGAGCAGGCAUCUAUAGGCCAAAGAGGAACCUGGCUCGCUCGCUCGCUCGCGCUCGCUCUCUCUCUCUCUCUCUCACUCUCUCUCUCUCUCACACACACUCUCUCACACACACACACUCUCACACACACACUCUCACACACACACUCUCACACACACACUCACAGAGCUGGUCCAGAUGGCAGGCUGUGAUCAUUUAUUUAUGAGGAAGUUCACAGAGUUCUGCUAGCCUGCUCUCUGAGCCACCCAUCCCACACACACACACACACACACACGCACACACACAUAUACAUAUAUACUGUACACACACACACACACCACACUACUGCUGCAGUUAAAAUGGCGGCACCCAUGCACAUUUGGCUAGCAGUCAAAGCUAAGUGUAACUGCAGCAUCAUUUUAAUCAUACAGCGUCUAUUCUUAGCAAUUUAACAACACAUCUGAGGUAAAUGUGAUGUUCUGGAUGGUUCUGUAUCAUUUCCACCGUCACUGUGAUUUUACAAGCCUUAUAAAAGACACCUUAUGACAGAAAGUUGACGUUUUUCAAUACAACACACACGACUGAUGUUUAGCAUUUGAUGCUAAGUGUAAUUACGGUGUAAUUUCAGUUGUACGACGCCUUUUCUUAAUAAUAGCGUUUUUCAAUAUGGUGGCAAAGUUAGCAUUUGAUGCUAAGUGCAAUUACCGUGCAACGUUAGUUGUGGAACGUCUUUUAUUUUGUCAUUUUCCAACAUAUCUGAGGUAAAUGUUAACGUUCCUGGCAGUUGUGUAUUAUUCACAACAAUAUUGUUCGCAUAAAAGUGCUAAACGCUCCCAUGGAUGCUAGCUAAAUCUCGCCAAGUGUGAUUUCUGUCUUGUAAAGUCGUUUCUUAGUAAUUUAACCGCACGUCUGAGGUAAAUGUCGAUGUUCCUGAUAGUUCUCUCGUUUCUACUGCAAGUGACUGUAUAAAUGAUCAUUUAGAGUGUAAUUUUAGUCUAACGAAGUCUUUUCUUAAUCAUUUAACACCACAUCUGAGGUAAAUAUUGACGCUCCUGAUAUUUCUGUCUGGUUUCCACUUGAAUUCACGGUGUAAAUGAUCAAUUACGCUGCGAUUAUAGUCGUACAAAGCCUUUUUUUUUUGUUGCUAAUUUACCAGCACGUUAGAGAUAAAAUGUUGAUGUCACCGUGUCUUUACAUUGUCCGUGUAAAUGACGUAACGUCUACACGUAUUGUACGUGUAUUUCCUGGUGCUCAGAAAGCAAAUAACUUGUGUGUCACAGUGUUUUUCAAUAUGGCGGAGAAGUUAGUAUUUGAUGCUAAGUGCAAUUAAUGUUAGAUAUCUGAGGUAAGUGUCAAUGUUCAUGGCAGCUUGGUAGCUAAAGCUGGAUUUUUAGACAACGACACCUCCAAAAGAAGAAAUAAGAAAUUGUCUGUCCUCACAGUGCCUUCAGUGUAUAUCACACUAUUUUACUUUUCUUUUUUCUUCUUCUUUUUUUAAGAAAUAUACAGCCAUGGAUGGAGAAACAUCAAUCAUUCCCCAUAUGCAAGCUGUAAAUAUUAUGUACACUCCUAAACACAUCACACACGCCUUGAUGUUUCAGGUCUAGCGAGCCAAUUCCUGUUAAACUCCCUCAGCGUGAAGAGGCCACGGCUUAAACACACAGUGUAUAUUUUGCCAGAUGUGGUGCGAUGAAAUAUAAGAGGGACGGGACGCGUGUACACUCGGCCUCUGUCUUCAGUUUCACUUAUAUUCUGUCAGGAAAGUCAGAUUCACGUUUUUCAUCAUGUUUUAUUUUGUUUUUAGGCAGGGUUUCCUGUCACGCCACAGCGGAUCUACAUGCUUCACCGGCCAGUAAGAAAUCCAAACUUUUGUUGUAUGAAUUUUAUUAGGGUCAAUAUUAGACUUUUCCCUUUUUUACCUCCUCUGAAUGUUUUUUUUUUUGCUUUUCGUGGGUUUCUAAAAGCUAGAUGUCAACAAAUUAUAUUAAUAGUAGUAGUAGUAGAAGAAGUAGCACAACAUUACUACUACCACUACUACUACUAACAACAACAACAUCUGGAUAGUCAAUUUUUUGUUCUCUUUUUUACUAUAUAUAUAUAUAUAUAUAUAUAUAUAUAUAUAUAUAUAAGGCACAUAUGGUUCAACAAACCCUCUUAAUAUUAUUAAAAUUAAUAUAAUUAAUUAAUUAAUUAAUAUAUUAAUAAUCAUAUUAAUAUUAUUAUUUUAUAUCAUCAUCGUUGGGUGUAAUGACGUACACAAAUCCUCAUCAAAAUAUUAUAAAGAAUCUAAAUAUCCUAAAUAAAUAUUACAAUUUUUGUUUUUUAUUUAUUUAUUUUUCCAUGUUUGGUUGGGUUCUAUAGAAAAAUAAAACCCGUCUGUCCAUCCAUAUAAACCUUGAAAAUGACAAUGAGUUUCAAUUUUCCCAUGUAUACGAAUGGAAAAUUUCACACGCACGGAUGAUGUUCUCAGCUUCUGUUCUCUUUGUAACGUAACGUUUUAAUUGCUAUGCACAGCACUUCGGUAGCUCGGUGUAGUAAGUGCUAUAUAAAUGACAUUUAUUUUUAUAAUCUAGUUUUCCCUCAGGCGGUUGCAGAGUCAGCAGUUCUGCCAGUCAUCAGCACAGAUUUGAUGGUGCUGCGAAAUCUCCUUCACACAAAUCCAAACCGAAACCCAUAUGUGCCGUUUCUUUCCAUUUCCACACAAACAAAAUCAUAACGUGUUUGUUUACAAUUACGGGCAAGUAGCCGCAUUUUAACAGGUUAAUAAAGAUUUAAUGUUUAGAGGGAAGAGAUUUACACAGCCGCGUCUUUACGAGUCAGUAAAACAGGUGGAGGAAAAUGUGCUUAAUGCAGCCCAUGAGCUGUUAAAAAAUAUUUUUUUCCAUUGAAGUUCCCGCCGUUAACAAGUCCAUAAAGAAACAUUACGGUGUGUGUGGCUUCGCUUUGAGCACAACUGAGCACCAGACUCAAAAUCCUCUAAAGUUAACACGAUUUUUUUCCGUUCACUAAAUUUAUCCACGCAGUGCAUCAGUUUGACCAGAGGAGGCGCUGUUGUAAACAUUAUAUUAUUAAGUUUGCAAUGAACCAAUAUUCAACAAUGGAACAAAUCACUAUCAUGUCUGCGCUAUAAAAUAACGCACAGUGCAAAGAUUCUCUCGACGUCUAACACAUAUAUAAUUGUUCUUUAACAUGUACGUGACCUGGUUUUAAACACAAUUUCACACCAGUGAUACGCCACAUCUGGAAACAACGUCUUACUGUGAUGUAAUGUACAACAUUAUAAGAGAACAGUAAAAAUGUUUGUUUUUUUUUUUAAUCAUUUUGUUAUCACGGUAUACAGUCAUGCUAAUAUAUCUUUAUAUUCCCAAUUUACUCAAUAAAAUAAAUACACUAAUUUUUCUUCUAUCCAGGCAACUUCUACAGCUACUUUAAAAUUUUAACGAGACAUUAAAAAAAAUAAAAACUCAAGCUCAUAUAGUUAAAAAAAGAAUAUAAAAAAGAAAAUACUCAUACUCAAUAUCAUGUGUAUGUAUUUGUUAAAUAUUAAUAACGAAAUAUUUAUAAUAGUAGCAAAAUAAUGUAACUAUAUUAUUGAAUAUUUAACAUCGUCGCUAUCAACAUAGUAAAGAUGAAAAAUCUCGUAAAUGUAACCGAUGGCAAUUGUUAAUUAUGAUAUAAUUCACACUCUUCAAUUCACCCAAUAAGAUUUCAAAAACAAAUGUACUGAUGCUUUGAAUUCAACAUAAACCUUGAUUUAGCGUAAAUUUCUGAAGAUAAACUUCAGGCUUCUAAAACGUUAAAAAAUUAUUCAUUUAUAAAGCUGAGAAAAUAAAAUAUUUGUUUCAAGGAAACGCACCUGGUUAAGUCCUCUGUGGUUCUGACCCACAUCGUCUUCCAUAGUCUGGUUAUCCAUUUGGACCCACUUCGCGCUCCACGUUCUUUGUUUUUGUUCUUUUUCAUCGGUACGUUUUAGAAAUGGUUUUCGGGGACUGUUAAGAAUUUUACAAUUGCAUGUCAUAAUUUGAGCAUUAGUUGUUCGAGGAUACAAUGGCAAAGUGAACUCACAUGAUGAGAACACAUUUACAUGACAUGGAACAUACACAACAAAUUCACUUUAUGAUCAAAGAAUGUUUGAUCAUAGAAUUUUUAACAAAUUCAUUUUAAUAGCAAAAUAUGAACACUGAGUUUAGAAAUAUAUCAUUAGAAUUUGAGAUUAGUGAUCAUUUCUUUAAUCUAUUAAAAUGACCAAAUAGAACCGUAUAAUUCCAAGAUCUUAGCGUGUAUGUAAAUAAUAAAACAAAUACACAGAAUGAUUAAGAGUUACAGAUUUUCAGUUUUAACCUGAAAUUGAUACUAAUAAGUAAAUAAAUACAAACAUAAAUGUGAACAAAGCAACUCGUAGCCUGCUGGAGAUACUUCUAGGAUUAAUUGUAUAUUGAGAUUGUUGAGGAUUUUUGAACUUAAGUGCAAAAAACAAUUUUAUAUUCUUUUUUAAAAUUUUUUAUUUAUUAAUAAAGUGUUUGAGGAUGUUCACACAUAACAUGGUACAUUUAAAUAAUAUAAUAAAACUAAUACUUUUUUUUUUUUUACCAUUUAUGAAAUAACUACCAAUGCAGCAAAUUCAAAAUAGUAAUUUACAUUUGAAGAGCUAAAUAUUUAUAUUUGUAGUCACUCAGUGGUUAAGUUUCUGUGCUAGUGACCAGAACAUUAUACGGCCCUUAAGCAAAAUCCUCAACCCUCAACUGCUCGGCUUUUUAUUUAUUUAUUUCGGUAGUUUCGAUUUUUCACACCGUGAGGUUUUUUUUUGGCUGCCCUUUUGGAACAAUGAAAUCUUUGUUUAAAAAAAAAAAAAAAAAAAAAGGUUUUGGGGAAAAAGAAAAAAACCUCCAGCAUGCUCUCCUCACAAAUCUGGAAAAAAGACGAAGGUCAAAGGUCAUCAUGGUGUGCACUUCUGCCCUUUCUGAUGAGCUCAGCAGUUUUCCCAUGAUGCACUGCACUAGUCUGCCAAGUCCUGUUCAGGCCUGGUUGAUCAUGAUAAAUGCAACUGUGGUACUUCCUGACAAAAAACGAAAGAAAGAAAGAAAGAACCCAAGUUUCUGAGAGGCUCGAGUUUGUAUUGUAUUUGUGCACUCUGUUCAACGAUUGCACGUUGGCUACACUCAAAACCACAACACUAUCAUGCUAACUUGAAGUGGUCCAUGCUAACCGCUAUUAGUAUACUCUUUUCCUUCAGCGCCGUUCGUUGUGCGUAAUCACUUUCAACGCACUGUACGUGACAUCUAUUCAUUUACUAUCACUCGCUGGUUUAUUGGCUUACUUGAGGAUAGAUCUACAAAUAUAAUCACUCAUUAUUCAUUGAAUAAAAUAACCAGCUAGGUCGCCAAGCGAGUUCCCUUUCGUGGCUAGCGUGCCAGUCACACACGUUCGCUAGAUCAGCUUCUAGGUCAUGUGACUUCUGGAAAUACCAACACGAAUUGGACCACAGAGUAGACAGCUAGCUACAAGACAAGCAGUUUGUUUAUUUUAUCAACAGAAUUUUAGUGAACAGCUCAAAGAAAUAUAGAAAGCGUAAGAGUAUUCCAAAGUUGCUGAAACAUAGUGACGGUUAUCUCUCGCCAGUUUAUCGGAUUGCCCAAGAAUGACUCCGCAGCUACCACAGCUAGCUAGCUACGUUUGUACACACAUGCCUCACUGUGGAAAAUGUGGGGAUUUGCUGAGGAGUCUCAGUUCAGUCUCGUCCAUUGAACAGAAUUAUGGGACUAGCUAAGCUACGAACUGAAUAGCCUUUUAAAAGGGGUUCUUCAGACAGGUUCCUUCAGAGAACCUUUAAGAUCUUCCAAUUAGGUGCAUCUGCGUGCUGGUUUGGACAUUUUAUCGUUCCGUCGCUCCUCGAGCAUUCAACAUGAACUUCAAAACUGUUCUGAUUUUCCACUGAGCACGUCAGGGAACUGGGAGCGGGCAACACUCCACGCGCAACCAUUCUGCCGAUGACGUCAUCACGGCUGAUCUUUCUAAUGGUUUUUUUUUCCCCCCCAGCAGCCGUCCUUCAAGCAUCAACGACGAGCUAUAACUCCAGCUUUAAUUGUUGCGCAAAUUGCUCUGCGGUUGCGGAACCACCUUUGUGACGUUUACCAGCGGAGACGUUCAUUGGCCACAACAAACGAGGCUCGUGAGUGUGUAUUCCUUGUGUGCGUUAGGUUCUCAGAGGGUUCUGCGCCAGGAUUUAAUCAGAAGCAUGAGUUUGUGGGGUUUUACACAAACUUUACCGUAUUACAUCUGCCUGCGCUGUUACCAACGUGUACGCGGAACUAAAAACGACGGAAUACCAAAGUGUACGAAAUAUAGCGAAUAACGGCGUGUACAGAAUACUGAAGAUGUACUGCGUACCAAAACGUAUGAAAUGCCAAGGCAUGAGGAAUACCGACGUGUAAGGAAUAAAGUGUACAAAACACCGAAGUGUACAGAAUAUGAAAGUAUUCAAAAUAAGUGUAUGAAACACCAAAAUACGGAAGUAUGCGGAACACAAACGUGUGGGAAAUACAGCAGGAAAGAACAAAGAGUACGGAAUUCUGCACUCCUAUUUCCCAUAGAACAGUUUUUACCCAGAAUCCCCAAAGCAGGAUUAUUACCUUAGAGAUCAGAGAUGUGUUAACUAUCACUUGACCGAACACUGUCCCAGCUGUGCAAAGAAACGCUUUGUGUAAAUCCGACGUGUAAACUUCACUCAGGUGAGGCGGUGCUCGGAAUGCCGCGAUGCUUCAUCACGCUUCAUCACUCAGGUGGUCCAUACAUGCAUUUUUCUUUUUUUUUCCCCCUUCCAUGUGAGACUACGUUCUCGCGUGUGCAUGUGUUGCUCAUUUGUCAAAUUGUCAGAGAAUUUGCAUAAAAAUGUAGUUUUGUGCGUGUACGGGUCUGCAUCUGGCUUCCAGCUGUUACGCACAUCUGUCACGCCGCUAUGGACGUGCGACGCUGUAUAUCGAUACGGCGGUAACGUAUCGACAGUGUAGAACGAUUUCCACGAUCAUCGGUACACCUUUCUGGAGCGUGCUAAUAUUAAAGUAAGGUCAUUUGUGGGUAACUUUCGAAAAUAAUCGAAAGAAAUCUAAAAUUACCCGCAAUCUCCGUCUUUAAUAAAACCUCGUUACGAGUCCCGAUUCCCGUCCGAACGCAAUUAAACGUGAGCCUUGGAGGAUAAAGUAAAGCUUGUUAAUACGUUUCUUUACUGCACUUGUGACCAUAUUAAAUCUAAUAAUACGAUAUCGUGCGUGUGUGUGUGUGUGUGUGUGUGGGUCGUGGACCUGCCAGCUUCUCAGGCAUACAAAAUGAAGUUUUCUCUCAUUAUACAGUCAAAGUCAGACUCCAGCCUCUCAGAGGGACGUCAAUAACAAACAAACUGAAGUGAAUAAAGAUCAGAUUACUGCGUUUUGGCUGCGUAGGCAAAAAAAUAAUAAAUCAACCCUUUCAGCAUUGAUUAUGAUAAAUAGCAGCUCUCGAUGCAACGAGUCGCAACAUGCAUGAGCGAAGGACAACGCUGCAUGAGUUGAAUACGCGAAGAGUACUACUAAGGGAAACGUCUGGAAUCUGGACAGAAGGCGUGACAGAGCAGCCGAAAGUCGUUUAUUUUCAAUUAAGGUUGAUAGAUAAAGUGGUGACGGAAGCAGAGGGAAGUGGGCGGGGCUAGAUGCAUCAAAUCUUAACGGGAUUCACUGAUUUAUCGUGUACGGUAUUACUAAUACAAAUGAUCGACAAGGAUUUAUCCGAUUUCUAGACAUUUUCACAAAUUUGGAAUCAGAAAUCAUCCUUUGUCGGAUCGUUUUGAUAACUCCCGUCGAAAAUGGGAGUGAAUAGUGAAGCGUACGGAGUAGUGAAGUGAACCAAAUGAUGAAGGAUAAGGAAUAGUGACGCGGACGGAAUAGUGAUAAUAUAGUGUAUGGAAUAGUGAAGUGAUUAGCGCAUUUUAGAGCCCUCUGCUGGCUGAGAGGUGAAUUACAGUUACAGCUUACAAGACUUCAACUUCCUUAACCCUAUGGAUGAACGGAUGGUUGAAUGGAUGGAUGGACUAAAAAUGAAUGGAAGAACGGAUGGGGGAUGACUGGAUGGAUGGAUGAAAGGAAGACUGGAUACAAGCCACAUGAAUAGAAGGAUGGACAACUGAAAGGAAGACCUGAAGGGAUGGAUAAACGGAUGGAUGAAAGGACAGACGGAUGGAAGGAUGGAAAGGACAGAUUGUAAAAGAAUGAAGGCAGGAAAGUAAGGAUGGAUGGACAGAUGGAUGAAAGUAUAAAAUAGCAGAUGGAUGGAUGGAUAAAGGGACGCAGGGACAAAUGAAUCAGAAGUAAACAAUUCAGUUUGAUUCAUAAAUUCUUCUCAAAAUCGAAAAAUAAAAAUGACCUCAACCAAACAUCAUACUACAUUUUUAACUGAUGUUAUUUAUUUGAGAUUUUUUUGGGGAUGUAUUAUUGAAAUUUUUCUUUAUGCAUUACACAUUAGAGGCCAGAGGCAGUCCACGUCGUGUCCACGCUGCCCUCCGGCUGUUUUACAUUUUAGAACAAUUUCUUUUGAAAUAAAUUCUCGCUUCAUCUCGGCGACAGAAAAAUAGAAUUAAUACCUAAAUAAAUAAAAACAACGGAGCUCCACAAUCACUGUUUUAUUUCUCCUCAGGUAACAAACACGGCUCUCUCGGAUGGAAAACCCUUUCAUUAUCAUCUAUCGCUAUCGCGCUAAAUCUGGAGAUAUUUACACACUAACAGGCUCCGCGGUCGGAAUUCAUAUCUCCACCUCGCUUAAAUCCCAAACCGGCGUCCUUUCAUUUUUCCCCCUGCUAAAUCUGAGCCGAGUCUGGAUCAUGCUAAUUGCUGGUGGUACCUUGGGGCCUGAGCCAUGAGCUCAUUAUUUUUACCUCCAGAAAGCCCUCACAAACAGCAGGCCCACAGAGGGAGUGUGUGUGAGUGUGUGUGUGUGUGUGUGUGUGUUUUUUCAUAUUCCCCCUAAAGUGUUAGGGAGUUCCUUUUCAUUUCCACAAUAACAAGCAAGUCAAAUAUACUUGCAGCUCAUUUCUCUUACGAAAAGAAAAAAAGGAGGAAAUCAGAGCUAGCUUAAAGCUCACGGAUUAUUUUAUAUCAUUUUACGCAUGAGAGGCGAAUCUUCACUUUAAUUAGCUGCUAUAUUCAGACGCUGACAUUAAAUUUCUGCUUUUCUUUUUUUUUUUUACUCAUUAUUCUCUUUAACACCGCUCCUCUAUUCCCGCUUUUUCUUCUUCUUGUUCUUCUUUUUUUUUUUUAUCUCCGAGAGCUGUGCAUUUAAUUAAGCGGAGGGCAGCAACGACAUCGGCUGACGCUUAAGGAGUCCCCCACCUCCCCCCACCCAAACACACACAUGUACUUUCUCUUAUUUCCUACACGGGCAUUGAUUUUUAAUCUGCACGAACAAUUUACACCGAUCAUCCUGCUCAAAAGUUUACACCCCCCCCCCCCCCGGCUCUUGAUGUGUGGUGUCGCGUUCUUGAGCGUCAGUGAACGUUUGCACGUUGUGUAAUUAGUCGUGUACGAGGCCCUCGGUGUGAAAAGACGGACCUCGACAUCAUAUUGUUGGAAAGGGCUGAAAUAUGCAGAAGACGCUGGAAACGUAAAGAACGUGCAGGACCUGGAGGAUUUCUCUGAAGAACAGUGGGGGGUUUAACUGCUCAGGACGAACACGGGACUCGUGAAGAACUCUCGCAGAACAUAAACACAUCGUGUCGUGGAUCAUCCCGGUAACGACACACGGGGUUAAUAAUCAAGGGUGUGUAAACUUUUGAACGGGGUCAUCGUUAUAAAUUCAGCUAUUAUCUUGUGGACUAUAAUGUAGAGGUGUUAUGUGAAAUAGUUUAUUCAGGACAGGACUAAAUAAACAGCGUGGGGUUUUUAUCAGCCGUCUUAUUUUGUUAACAGUAUUAAGAUUUAGCAGAUUCUGCAAGGGGUACGCAAACUUUUGAGCACAACUGUAUACACACACACACACACCUCCAUCCUCGUAUCUAUCCAGUUAUCCGCUUGAAUAUUCUUUCCUGCUACCCAUUCAUCCAUCUAUUUAUCGAUUUAUUUAUUUAUUUAUUCAUACAUUUACUCAACCUGUAAUAUAUCUGUUUGGUGGAUAGACGGGUGGAUAGACUAAUAGAUGGAUGGAAAUAGGUAAAUAAUUGGAUAACUAGACAAGUGGAUAAGUGAUGGGAUAAAAACAUGGCUGGAUGGAAGAAUGAAUGAAAAAAGACUUGAUAAGCAGGAUGUGUGGAUGGAUGGAUGGAUGGAUAAAAAGAAUCAGGGAGGGAAAGGUAAUCCGUCCAGUAUACUGCUAGGUAUUCAAAUCUACACUGGGAUCUGUCCAACCAGCCAUUGUGAUAUACUGAUCCAUCCAUUCACCCAUAUUUCCAACCACUCAUUUUUUAAUCUUUCUAUCUACCCAUUUAUCCGUCCUUUCAUCCAUCAAUCCAGCCCUCCUUCCAUUUUUUCCCACCAAGCCAUACAACCAUAUUUAUCCAUUCACCUUUCCAUUGUUUUAUAUCCUCAAACCUUCUCAAGCAUUCAUAUCUAUAUAUAUCUUUUUUCCAACCAUCCCAUCAUUAUCUUUCCAUCUAUCUAUCCUUCUGUUCUUUUACCCAUCCAGCACCCAUAUACAUUUGCAUAUGCUCAUCAUUUCAACUCUUCAUCCAUCCAUCCAUUUAUAAUUUUACCCAUCAGUCAAUCCAUCCAUCCAUCCAUCUAUUCAGGCUUUCAACGCAUCCAUUUUUCUACCCAUCAUGUAUCCAUCUACAUUCUGUUAUACAUGUUCAUGCAUCGAGCCAUUCAUUUUUCCAUAUAUAUUUUCCAUUCUUCUUUCCGUCCAGUCACUCGUCCAUCCUAACAAUCUUUUCAUCCAUUUUUCCAUGUCAGACCGUCUGACAUUUGACCUCUAUUUAUAUACCGAUCGAUCAAUCUAUCGGCUCAUCGAUCCAACCCUCCUUCCACUUUUUUCACCAUCCAUCCAUCCAACCAUCCAUAGAUCUACUGUUAGACCUAUUCAUCUAUCCUCCCAUCCAUCCACCCACCCUUUCCUCUGCUCAGCGAUGAUGAAAUCAGAACAGGAAGCCGACUCAGACGGCGUAUAUAGAGCUGUGUGACAUGGUCUGCGAGUGAAAGAGAAUUUGGAGAAUUGGUGUCCUGACUGUGUCCUCUGCUCUAAAUGGAGAACGAUUGAGGAUGAACUUCCAGACCUAAACAGUGUAUAAUUACACAGCUGUUCUCAGGAAAGAGAUAUGGAUGUGGGGAAAGCCCCCGUACUGGACGGAUAUGAACAUUCCCAGGUUCUCAGCUGUGUGGGAAAACUAUGAGGGACGGAGGAGGGAACAACGAAGGCUGUGGGAAAUACUAAGUCUGGAAGUCGCUCAGGCUGUAAAUAAAAUCAUGUGGUUCAUAUCAGCGAGAUCAGUAAAUCCAAACCGCGGAGUUCUCCCCCCGCCGUGCAGAGAUGAGGCUCGUACGGAGGAACCCUCGAUGACCGCAGUGAUGAUAUCCUGCUCGUUAACAUGCGUCUGUAAAAUCAGAAUGAUGAUGAUGCUGCUACUGCUUUACCACGUCGGAUUUAAUAUCCGGCGCAGACGGGCUGCGAGCAUCAGCGCCAACUCGGCAGGUUUUUCUUUCUUUUUUUUUUUUAAAGGCGGGGGGAUUUGGAGGAUGGUCAUGUGACCAGACAGCAGCCAAGCGGAGAGGCUGAAUCGAGGUCGAGCGUAAAGUUUAGUGGGUCAGAGAGGCUGGCAGACGACUGGUGGAAAAAAAAUGUGUGUGCCAGUCCAAGACAAGCUGAGAUAGAGGGAGGGAGGGAGAGAGAGAUAAACAGAAGAGAGAAGGGAGUGAUGAGAAACAAAUCCGAGGGCAGCAAAAGGAAACAGUCUGAUACAGAUGGAAACGUGGGCGAUGAAAAGGGGAGUAUAAAAAAAAACAAAAAAAAAACAGAUUUGAUUUGAAAAUCUAGACGGAUGGAGGAGGCACAGCUAAAUAAGGAAAUGGAUGGAUAGAUGGAGCGUAGAUAAAUGGAUAAACGGAUGAAUACACAGAUACUACGGAAGGGUUCGCUGGAUCAUUAAGGGUUCUUAGCCUCUUAAAGGUUACGGAGAAGGAAACAGAGUGAACAUACUGCAUCUGUAUACUCGAACACAAAAUAAUAUAAUGUAACACACACACAUACAUACACACAUAUAUAUAUAUAUAUAUAUA
ensembl:lncRNA